UGGAGGGGUGUGUGUGUGGGGGGGGGGGGGGCGGGCAGUUAAGUUCAUUAUGUGGUAUGGACUCAGUAUGGAUUUCUUCAUUUCCUAACUGGGUACCCAUUAUGGUGGCCUUUGAAACCUGUGACUCGCUUUAGAAAGUCCCCGUUAUUUGAAGUGUCAUGUUCUCCCCGAUGCCCCACUCCCUAGCAGUCUGAAGACAGUUUGACUAUGGUUUGCCUGAGAUUUGAUAGAUGCAAUCAAGAACUGGAAAGAGCCAUCUCCUGGCAACGUAUUUGAACUCUUGAAUACAGCAUUUCUGAAGUCACCUUAAUCCUUGGACUUUUUUGUUAAAGAGUUCAUAAAGCCCCUUCUUGGCCCUAAGGCUGUUCAAGGUGGGUUUCUGUCACUUGCCACCAAGAGCCCUAAGUAACAGCCCCUCUCCCCUGCCCUCCCUCCCUUAUGUCUCUCAUUGCACUCCCACAUUCUAUCCUGCUGGCUUACUUGUUCACGGUCUCCCCACAUCCUCCAACUGAGGAUAUUUAUGAAACUAUGCAACAGACUGUGAAGGAUAUUUUAAAAGAGGAAUUUCAAUAAUGUUUUUAUCUUCUCCCACAAUAUUUUGGGCAAUGGCCAUAUUGUGGAUUUAAGCAUUCUCUACUUGAAAAGCCAACAUCACCCAAUGAGGCAAAAUGGUUGAGAGUUUGGAUUGUGGCCUCUGAAAUCAAACAUGUAUCAGCUGUUUUACUCAGAAUAAGUUUGACAAUUUUCUAAGCCUCUGUUCAUUUAUAUAAUGGGGAUAAUACCAUGAAGAUUUGAUGGGAUGUGGUAUGGACCUCAAUUAGCAUAGGUAAAUAGAAAAAAUGUCUAGUAUCAGGAUGAACAUGAUCCUUUUGUUAAAUGAUCUCAAAAUAUGAUCUGCAAAGCCAGAUUGUCACAUGCACAAUUCAACAAAACAAACAAAAAAUUCAGCAAAAACAAACAAAAGUUAUUGUCUCCUCAGAUUAUUCUAGUAAAAGCAGGUGCUGUGCCUCUUCAUCUGGAUAAAGCAAAUCUCAGGCUAAAUAUACAACAGGUGGAUAUAAUUUAAAUCCAUGAAACACUUUAGUCCCUUAAAGCAACUUAUUCUACUUUACUGACCAUUACCCUACUUCUAGAAUAGUUUACAAAUAAAAUGUAAUACACAUAGCAAAUCCCAGUUUCCUGGCCUUAUCCAAAUAGGACGUUUUCAAGGCCCCAAAGGGCUAAGGUCCUGAAGGGAAACCCCCUUUUCUCAAAGAGAGAGAAGUAAAACUUAUUUUGUUCUGACCUACUGACCGCGUCGCGGGCUCCAGGCGAUCGUCAGCCGUGAUCUUCCGGCCGCACAGCUGAUGCGCGCCCCGGCGGUUAAUGCCGCACAAGGCGCAGGGGGCGCCCUUCCCAGGGUGGCAUAAGCCUCACCUGCUCCGCGAGGGCCGGGUGCGCUUCCCAAAAGCUCCCACCAGCCAAUGAGCCCCAAAGUCUUAACUUGAAAGAAUUGUGACUGGACCUGUAGCAACCGUGGCUGAUACAGGAGCAAGACAAAGAUUGAGUUCUGGUUUGGGACUCAGCUGAGAUGGAAGACAGAAGGACCCAGGGAACUUAAAAUCAAGGAGAACCCCUCAUUUGCAAAGCUCUAAAUGUUGCUGAUCUUUGGUAUCUGACCCAGAGUUUAUGAAAUAAAGGCACAAUGCAUUGCAAUUCCCAAAAAUGUGUUAAGAAAGAUAGUACUUUCUGUUCUGAGGUAAGUCUAUCAAUGUGGAGAUCACCUGGCAUGGAGAUUAACUUGGGCAAUUUAUCCUAAAGUUAUAAACUUCCACCUGUUGAUUCAACCAAACCCAUAAAUACUCCCUGGCUUCCACCCUGGGCAAAAAGCAAGUACUGCACAUUUAACUUUCGGUCACCCAUUUAAUUGGGGGAUCUGGUUUAUGAAUAAAUUGUCCUGGUGACUGCUUACCACGUUGUCCAAGCAUUUCCCAACCCAGGCUCUAACGACCUUCCAGCCUUGGUUUGACUGCCCAUGGACAACGAUGCUUCUUGGCAUUGGCACGCGUUGUUUUCUCUUUCUGAAAAGCCCUCCUCCUCUUC